UUGUAGCAUGAAAGGAGAGACGUUUAACGCUUCCCUAGACAAGGAUGGAACACAUAUAUAAAUGGAUUCUACCAAAUGUCCAAAUUGGACAAAUUGAGAAUGAAAAGUAUUAAAUAAAAAAAAAAAAAGUUAUAAAUGGUAAGGCACUGUCGCCUUUCGCCGGCACUUACCAGAUUUUUUUU
rnacentral:ncRNA from 1 species